rnacentral:rRNA from 1 species
CCUGCCCUUGGGAGGGGAACGAAAAUUGGAAAUGACUGUUAAUACCCCAUAGGUUGAGGAGCAAAAGGAGGAAUCUGCCCAAGGAGGGGCUCACAUCUGAUUAGUUAGUUGGUGAGACAAUGGCUUACCAAGGUGAUGAUCAGUAGCUGGUCCGGAGGAUGAUCGCCACACUGGACUGAGACACGGGCCCAGACCUACGGGGGCAGCAGUGGGGAAUUUCGCAAUGGGCGAAAGCUGACGGAGCAAUGCCGCGUGAAGGCAGAAGGCCAACGGGUCAUGAACUUUUUUCUCGGAGAAGAAAAAAUGACGUUUCUGAGGAAUAGCAUCGGCUUAACUCUGUGACCGCAGCGCAAGGUAAAGGACAGAGGAUGCAAGGUUAUCCGAAUGAUUUGGGGCGUAAAGUCGUCUGUAGGUGGCUUUCAAGUCCGCCGUUCAAAAUCCCCGGGCGUCAACCCUGGACAGGCGUGGACUACCAAGCUGGGUACGGUAGGGCGAUGGAUUUCGGUGGAGCGGUGAAAGCGUUGAGAUCGAAAGAACACCAACGGCGAAAGCACUUGCUGGGCCGGCACUGACACUGAGAGGAGUAGGGGAGCAAUGGGAUUAGAUCCCCAGUGUUCCUAGCCGUAACGAUGGAUACUAAGUGCUAUGCGUAUCGACCCACGCAGUGCUGUAGCUAACGUGUUAAGUAUACUGCCUGGGGAGUAUGUUCACAAGAAUGAAACUCAAAGGAGUUGACGGGGGCCCGCACAAGGGUGGAGCUGUGGUUCAAUUCGCAUGCCAAGCGAAGAAACCUUACCAGGGCUUGACAUGCUGCGAAUCCUCCCAAAAGAGAGGAGUGCCUCGGGAACGCAGAAACAGGUGGUGCAUGGCUAUCAUCACCUCAUGCUAUAAGGUGUUGGGUUAAGUCCUGCAAUGAGCACAACCCUCGUGUUUAGUUGCCAGAAUUGAGUUUGGAAACCCGAACAUACUGCCAAUGAUAAGCCAAAGGAAGGUGAGGAUGACGUCAAGGCAUCGUGCCCCUUACGCCCUAGGUGACACACGUGCUACAAUGACCAGGACAAAGGAUCGCAACCCUAUGAGGGCAAGCUAACCUCAAAAACUCGGCCUCAGUUCAGAUUGCAGGCUGCAACUCACCUGCAUGAAGCCGAAAUCGCUAGUAAUCGCCGGUCAACCAUACAACGAUGAAUCCGUUCCCGGGCCU